GCAUUGGUGGCUUAGUAAUAGAAUUCUCGCCUCCCACACAGGGGACCCAGGUCCAAGUCCUGGCCAAUGCA
rnacentral:tRNA from 1 species